rnacentral:rRNA from 1 species
AUCUUGGCAUUAAAUAAUUUUUGGGCGUAAUUAAAAUACGAAAAGUUAUGNGUAGUUAAUAGCUGUGAUCCNUAAAUUCCCAUUUGUAAACACAGCACUUUUGCUGUUANAUAACGUAGCGAACUGAAACAUCUAAGUAGCUAUAGGAACAAAAAUCAACCGAGAUUUCGUUAGUAGUGGCGAAUGAACGCGAAUAUUAGAUCUAAAACUAUUUUGUAAUAAAGCAAGAAAUGUAUUUAAAUAUACUACUAAAAAAGGUAUAAGUCCUGUAUUGCUAAUAAAAGAUUAUAGUUUAUGAGUAAGUCGAGAAACGUGUAAUCUUGACUGAAUAAGGAGGUCCACCUUCUAAAUCUAAAUAUAUUUAAUGACCGAUAGUGCACAAGUACCGUGAGGGAAAGAUGAAAUAGCACCCGUGGGUGUGAAAUAGUUCUUGAAACUAAUUACUUAAAACGAUUAGUGUUUAUAUUUAUAAAUAUAAAUGAUAAUGUGCUUUUUGUAUAACGAGCCAUCGAGUUAAUUUAUUUAACAAGUUUAAGUUGAUAAACGAAGGCGUAGCGAAAGCGAGUUUUAAAUAGAGCGUAAGUUAAAUAAAUUAGACCCGAAAUCAAGUGAUCUAUUCAUGAACAGGCUGAAGAUAUUGUAACAAAUAUCGAAGGGCCGAACCUGUUGCUGUUGCAAAAGCAUUGGAUGAUUUGUGAAUAGGAGUGAAAGGCUAAUCAAACUUGAAGAUAGCUGGUUCUCUGUGAAAUCUAUUUAAGUAGAGGGGUUAAAACUUUCAUAUUUGGGGUAAAGCACUUUAUAGUUUAGGGUGAUGAAUAAUCUUACCGACACUAUGAAAACUAAAAAUACAAUUAUGUAAAAUUUAACUACACAGACUAUGGGUGCUAAGAUCCUUAGUCGAGAGGGAAACAACCCAGAUUAUUCGAUAAAGUUCCAAAGUUUUUCUUAGUGGGUAAGAAAGUUAAAUGACUAUAAUAACUAAAAGGUAGGCUUGGAAGCAGCCAUCCUUUAAAGAAAUCGUAAUAGAUCAUUAGUUUAGUUAUUUUGCGUCGAAAAUGUAACGGAUCUAAAGAAAAACACUGAAUCGAUAAUUUUUUUGUUUAAUUUCACAUACUAAACAAAAAAAGGUAACAGAGCGUUCCGUAAGUUUUUGAAGAUAAAUUGAAAAAUUUAUUGGAGAUAUCGGAAUUGAAAAUGAUGGCAUGAGUAGGGUAAAGAAAAGUUUAAAUCUUUUCCGCCGUAAGCUUAAGGGUUCCAAGGUUAAGUUCGACUUCCUUGAAAAAAUUCGGUCCCUAAUGAUACACUUGACAAAGUGGUUAAAUGGGUAAAAUAAAUUGUGACGAAUAACUAUAUUUUAAUUAAUUUUUUGUAGUGAACUAUUAAUUUUGAAAUAUAUCAUUCCAGGAAAUAGCUUUUAUUUUAAACCGUACCGUAAACCGACACUGGUAAGCUAGUAGAGUAUACUAAGGCGUUUGGAAUAACUAUGUUGAAGGAACUCGGCAAAAUGUUUCUGUAACUUCGGGAGAAAGAAAUCCAAANANANUUUUUGGAGGAAGAAAAUAGAAGAAAACAACUGCUUAAUAAAAGCACAGGACUUUGCAAAAUCGUAUGAUGACGUAUAAAGUCUGACGCCUGCCCGGUGACAGAAGGUUAAAAGGCNCAAUAUGUUUGUUGNAAAUUGAAGCCCUGUUAAACGGCCGCCCUAACUCUGAGGGUGCGAAGGUAGCGAAAUUCCUUGCCUCCUAAUUAGAGGCCUGCAUGAAUGGCGUAAUGAUUUUCUUACUGUCUCCAACAUAGAUCCCCUGAAAUUGAACUUCCUGUGAAGAUGCAGGAUAUUUACAGUAAGACGGAAAGACCCUAUGAACUUUUACUACAUUUUUAUGAUGUUAAUUGCGUAUAAUUGUGCAGGAUAGGUGGUAGUUAUGUUUUAAUUAUAUAACAUCCUUGAGAUACCACCCUAUUAUUGUUAAUUAACUAAUUUAUUUUAUUUAAUCGUUAAUAAAGACAUCGUAUGAUUGGUAGUUUCUUUGGGGCGAAGCUCUCCUAAAGAGUAACGGAGAGACGCUAAGGUAAACUCAAAUUGAUAUACAUCAAUUGUAGAGCGUAAUGGCAUAUGUUUACUUAACUGUAAGAUUGACAAAUCGAACAGAAAUGAUGAUAAUUCAAUUUAUUAUUGUUGGCCAUAGUGACCUGAUAAUUUUUAGUGGAAAAAUUAUCAUUCAAUGAAUAAAAAGUACUCUAGGGAUAACAGGCUAAUUUCACCUAAGAGUUCAUAUCGCCGGUGUAGUUUGGUACCUCGAUGUCGAUUGUCCACAUCCUGAUGGUGAAGCAGCUAUCAAGGGUAGGGUUGUUCGCCCUUUAAAGUGGAACCUGAAUUGGGUUUAGAACGUCGUAAGACAGUUUGGUCCCUAUCUGCUGUAAACAAAUAUUAUAAAAAUUUGAGAAGAUUUUCACCUAGUACGAGAGGAAUCUGUGAGAAUAGACCACUGGUGUUUCGGUUGUUAUACUAUUAGCAGUGCCGAGUAGCUAAGUCUGUAUGAGAUAACCGCUGAAAUCAUCUUAAGCGGGAAGCCUACUUCAAGAUAAAAUUUUUUUAAGCUGUGAAAUAACAUCACGUUGAUAGGUUUC